rnacentral:rRNA from 1 species
AUUGAACGCUGGCGGCAGGCCUAACACAUGCAAGUCGAGCGGAUGAGUGGAGCUUGCUCCAUGAUUCAGCGGCGGACGGGUGAGUAAUGCCUAGGAAUCUGCCUGGUAGUGGGGGACAACGUUUCGAAAGGAACGCUAAUACCGCAUACGUCCUACGGGAGAAAGCAGGGGACCUUCGGGCCUUGCGCUAUCAGAUGAGCCUAGGUCGGAUUAGAUAGUUGGUGAGGUAAAGGCUCACCAAGGAGACGAUCCGUAACUGGUCUGAGAGGAUGAUCAGUCACACUGGAACUGAGACACGGUCAAGACUCCUACGGGAGGCAGCAGUGGGGAAAAUUGGACAAUGGGCGAAAGCCUGAUCCAGCCAUGCCGCGUGUGUGAAGAAGGUCUUCGGAUUGUAAAGCACUUUAAGCGAGGAGGAGGCGCUCUAGGGUAAUACCCUAGAUGCGUGGACGUUACUCGCAGAAUAAGCACCGGCUAACUCUGUGCCAGCCGCCGCCGUAAAAC